GGGAACGUAGCUUAAUCUGGGACACGGAAAAGUCUAAUUCGGGCUUUUUGUAGUGCAGAAAAGAGCACUAGACUGAAGAUCUAGGCGUUGAGGGUUCAAAUCCCUCCGUUCCCA
rnacentral:tRNA from 1 species